CACAAUGGUGGGGCGUUCAGGGCAGUUUUCGGGCUGGCCGGUUUCUCGGAUUCCCGGUUUCUCACCCCUGUACGUCUCACCACCCAU
rnacentral:antisense_RNA from 1 species